GAUGAACGCUGGCGGCGUGCCUAAUACAUGCAAGUCGAGCGAACAGACGAGGAGCUUGCUCCUCUGACGUUAGCGGCGGACGGGUGAGUAACACGUGGAUAACCUACCUAUAAGACUGGGAUAACUUCGGGAAACCGGAGCUAAUACCGGAUAAUAUAUUGAACCGCAUGGUUCAAUAGUGAAAGACGGUUUUGCUGUCACUUAUAGAUGGAUCCGCGCCGCAUUAGCUAGUUGGUAAGGUAACGGCUUACCAAGGCAACGAUGCGUAGCCGACCUGAGAGGGUGAUCGGCCACACUGGAACUGAGACACGGUCCAGACUCCUACGGGAGGCAGCAGUUGGGAAUCUUCCGCAAUGGGCGAAAGCCUGACGGAGCAACGCCGCGUGAGUGAUGAAGGUCUUCGGAUCGUAAAACUCUGUUAUUAGGGAAGAACAAAUGUGUAAGUAACUAUGCACGUCUUGACGGUACCUAAUCAGAAAGCCACGGCUAACUACGUG
rnacentral:rRNA from 1 species